rnacentral:rRNA from 1 species
CCUACGGGAUGCAGCAGUGGGGAAUAUUGCACAAUGGGGGAAACCCUGAUGCAGCGACGCCGCGUGAGUGAAGAAGUAUUUCGGUACGUAAAGCUCUAUCAGCAGGGAAGAAAAUGACGGUACCUGACUAAGAAGCCCCGGCUAACUACGUGCCAGCAGCCGCGGUAAUACGUAGGGGGCAAGCGUUAUCCGGAUUUACUGGGUGUAAAGGGAGCGUAGACGGCAGCGCAAGUCUGGAGUGAAAUCCCAUGGCUUAACCAUGGAACUGCUUUGGAAACUGUGCAGCUAGAGUGCAGGAGAGGUAAGCGGAAUUCCUAGUGUAGCGGUGAAAUGCGUAGAUAUUAGGAGGAACACCAGUGGCGAAGGCGGCUUACUGGACUGUAACUGACGUUGAGGCUCGAAAGCGUGGGGAGCAAACAGGAUUAGAUACCCGGGUAGUC